rnacentral:sRNA from 1 species
GUCGGGUGUGGUGGCGCACACCUGUAAUCUCAGCAGCUCGGGAGGCUGAGGCAGGAUUGCAAGUUCAAACUCAGCCUCAG